UAAGUAUCAGGGAUCAGAGGAGGAACAAGCCUCCCAGAC
rnacentral:sRNA from 12 species